rnacentral:rRNA from 1 species
AACGAACGCUGGCGGCAUGCCUAACACAUGCAAGUCGAACGAGACCUUCGGGUCUAGUGGCGCACGGGUGCGUAACGCGUGGGAACCUGCCUUUAGGUUCGGAAUAACUCAGAGAAAUUUGAGCUAAUACCGGAUGAUGUCUUCGGACCAAAGAUUUAUCGCCUUUAGAUGGGCCCGCGUUGGAUUAGCUAGUUGGUGGGGUAAAGGCCUACCAAGGCGACGAUCCAUAGCUGGUCUGAGAGGAUGCUCAGCCACACUGGGACUGAGACACGGCCCAGACUCCUACGGGAGGCAGCAGUGGGGAAUAUUGGACAAUGGGCGAAAGCCUGAUCCAGCAAUGCCGCGUGAGUGAUGAAGGCCUUAGGGUUGUAAAGCUCUUUUACCCGAGAUGAUAAUGACAGUAUCGGGAGAAUAAGCGCCGGCUAACUCCGUG